GCCGAAGGGGUUGCAGGCGGGGUGGUCUCUGUCUGCCCCCUCGGGAAGAUAUGCCUUCCAAUACCAAUCCCUGUCUUGAAUGGUGACGAAGUACUUGCCGUCCAAUCUCUUCUCGGACUCGGUCCUGCAGUUGCCACCGAACAUGGCAUUGAGGAGGACGUUGCCGGCGACUUCGAUGCCAGACUCCGCUGCCCUCAAAGCCACAUGGUGUGCGAUGUUCCCGCCGGAGCUGUCCCCCGCGAGGAACACCCGAAGCUUGGCGUCCUUCCCGCUGCGGAGCCAUGGCUCGCC
rnacentral:lncRNA from 1 species